rnacentral:rRNA from 1 species
AGAGUUUGAUCAUGGCUCAGGAUGAACGCUAGCGGCAGGCUUAACACAUGCAAGUCGAGGGGUAUAGUUCUUCGGAAUUAGAGACCGGCGCACGGGUGCGUAACGCGUAUGUAAUCUACCUUUUACAGAGGGAUAGCCCAGAGAAAUUUGGAUUAAUACCUCAUAGUAUAAUGACUCGGCAUCGAGAUAUUAUUAAAGUCACAACGGUAAAAGAUGAGCAUGCGUCCCAUUAGCUAGUUGGUAAGGUAACGGCUUACCAAGGCUACGAUGGGUAGGGGUCCUGAGAGGGAGAUCCCCCACACUGGUACUGAGACACGGACCAGACUCCUACGGGAGGCAGCAGUGAGGAAUAUUGGACAAUGGGCGCAAGCCUGAUCCAGCCAUGCCGCGUGCAGGAUGACGGUCCUAUGGAUUGUAAACUGCUUUUAUACGAGAAGAAACACUCCUUCGUGAAGGAGCUUGACGGUAUCGUAAGAAUAAGGAUCGGCUAACUCCGUGCCAGCAGCCGCGGUAAUACGGAGGAUCCAAGCGUUAUCCGGAAUCAUUGGGUUUAAAGGGUCCGUAGGCGGUUUAAUAAGUCAGUGGUGAAAGCCCAUCGCUCAACGGUGGAACGGCCAUUGAUACUGUUAAACUUGAAUUAUUAGGAAGUAACUAGAAUAUGUAGUGUAGCGGUGAAAUGCUUAGAGAUUACAUGGAAUACCAAUUGCGAAGGCAGGUUACUACUAAUGGAUUGACGCUGAUGGACGAAAGCGUGGGUAGCGAACAGGAUUAGAUACCCUAGUAGUCC